rnacentral:rRNA from 1 species
UACAGAGGUGGCAAGCGUUAAUCGGAAUUACUGGGCGUAAAGGGUGCGUAGGCGGUUCGUUAAGUCUGUCGUGAAAUCCCCGGGCUCAACCUGGGAAUGGCGAUGGAUACUGGCGAGCUAGAGUGUGUCAGAGGAUGGUGGAAUUCCCGGUGUAGCGGUGAAAUGCGUAGAGAUCGGGAGGAACAUCAGUGGCGAAGGCGGCCAUCUGGGACAACACUGACGCUGAAGCACGAAAGCGUGGGGAGCAAACAGG